rnacentral:rRNA from 1 species
AGAGUUUGAUCCUGGCUCAGGAUGAACGCUAGCGGCAGGCCUAAUACAUGCAAGUCGGACGGGAUCCGUCGGAGAGCUUGCUCGAAGACGGUGAGAGUGGCGCACGGGUGCGUAACGCGUGAGCAACCUACCUCUAUCAGGGGGAUAGCCUCUCGAAAGAGAGAUUAACACCGCAUAACAUAUGUGACCGGCAUCGGUUGGAUAUUAAAUAUUUAUAGGAUAGAGAUGGGCUCGCGUGACAUUAGCUAGUUGGUAGGGUAACGGCUUACCAAGGCGACGAUGUCUAGGGGCUCUGAGAGGAGAAUCCCCCACACUGGUACUGAGACACGGACCAGACUCCUACGGGAGGCAGCAGUAAGGAAUAUUGGUCAAUGGGCGGAAGCCUGAACCAGCCAUGCCGCGUGCAGGAUGACUGCCCUAUGGGUUGUAAACUGCUUUUGUCCAGGAAUAAACCUUUCUACGUGUAGGAAGCUGAAUGUACUGGAAGAAUAAGGAUCGGCUAACUCCGUGCCAGCAGCCGCGGUAAU